rnacentral:lncRNA from 1 species
GAAGAGAAGCAAGUUAAAAUAUCAGCAACUGUUAACACAAUGGUGUUUGAUAUUCGAAUUAAAGCCAUAAAGGAAUUAAAAUUAAUGAAGGAACUAGCUGACAACAGCUGUUUGAGACCUAUUGAUAGAAAUGGGAAGCUUCUUUGUCCAGUGCCGGACAGCUAUACUUUGAAGGAAGCAGAAUUGAAGAUGGGAAGUUCAUUGGGACUGUGUCUUGGAAAAGCACCAAGUUCGUCUCAGUUGUUCCUGUUUUUUGCAAUGGGGAGUGACGUUCAACCUGGGACAGAAAUGGAAAUCAUAGUAGAAGAAACAAUAUCUGUGAGAGAUUGUUUAAAGUUAAUGCUGAAGAAAUCUGGCCUACAAGGAGAUGCCUGGCAUUUACGAAAAAUGGAUUGGUGCUAUGAAGCUGGAGAACCUUUAUGUGAAGAAGUA